rnacentral:rRNA from 1 species
UACAGAGGGUGCAAGCGUUGUUCGGAAUUACUGGGCGUAAAGCGUGCGCAGGCGGUGAUGUAAGACAGAUGUGAAAUCCCCGGGCUCAACCUGGGAACUGCAUUUGUGACUGCAUUGCUGGAGUGCGGCAGAGGGGGAUGGAAUUCCGCGUGUAGCAGUGAAAUGCGUAGAUAUGCGGAGGAACACCGAUGGCGAAGGCAAUCCCCUGGGCCUGCACUGACGCUCAUGCACGAAAGCGUGGGGAGCAAACAGG